GCGUGGUUGAACGUUCUGAAAGAUUUCCCCCCACUUUUAUCGUUCGUUAUUUACUGGAGCUGCUGAUUUGCGGAAAGUUAGAUGUGAUUUAUUAGGGAAGAGUAUCAACAACGAGAAUUUCUCUACUGCUGCUGCUAUUGAUCGAUCGAUCGUCGAAUAGUUCUAAUCCAAAAAACAUUCCUCUUCCAAUCUGUUGCACAAGUGUGCUCCGAAGACGACUCGGUCAUCAAUCAAGGCGCGAGGACCGAAGAAGCAGCCCCCGUCCUGAUACCGGCCCCUACAAGCGGUACUCGGCGAGAAUCGAUCCAAAAACGUAAAAGGGAUGGUGGAGACGAUGAUGAUGAGGCAGAUGAAGAUGAUUUAAACGACGAACGGCGGCCCGCGGAGGACCCCGCGACCAUGAAUGCUAAAGAAACCCCAGCCCUCGCUACAAUUAGUGCGCCGGAUGCUCAGCCACAGAAAAAAAAGAAGAAAAAGCGAAGAAAGGACCAUGAUCAUCAGUCCGUCCUAUGUACAGUCGAGGGAUCACAU